CAUAAAAUAUGUUCAAGGUUUGCAUAGAUAAUGUUUUAUAUCCUAUUAUAGAGUUGACAAGAUUACGAAAAAAUUCUAAUCGUAGAUUUUUUUUUAUUCUUAUAUAGAUACAUAUAUUACGUUAUUGUAAAACCGAAAUAAUGUCGGAACGUGAAGUGAAUAGUUAACGUUUAAUUUAAAUAAAUAUUUUUUUUAUAUUGUUACUGUCAUUGGAGUCUUUUUGUUCCGUUAACUCCAAUUCACGCGAAUAAUAUCAGUUUUAGAAUGUCGAAAUGUAAAAUCCGCCUUCUUUUCCUUGAUGGCACAAUAUUAGUUUACUAUACGAGAGUUUUCGCCGCCAUCACAAUCUCCGUCCGCUUUACUCGGUCCCGAACGGAGAUAUCUCUCCGCUCUUGUACUCCUGUGUUCUAUCGAGGUCUUACACAACAUCCGUUCGUACGUCUUAUCCUAAGUCCACUCUGAGGUAUCUUGUGUCCACAACGGUUAUCAUACUCGUUUCUUAUUGUGGACAAUCAAAAUUGAAUCGAAUGUUUUCGUACGAGUCGCGUAGGAAGCUUACGACUGAUGCCGUAUUUUCUUGAAAUCGUCUGUUAAAUUUUCACCUCCCUCUCGUGCAAU